rnacentral:tRNA from 1 species
UGUAGCUUAGUGGUAGAGCCUGAGCUUAUAAUGCAAGAAGCCCUGGGUUCAAUUCCCAGCA